rfam:Corynebacterium kroppenstedtii DSM 44385, complete genome.
CCUCUUCGGCUUGCUGAGGAGAAAUAAAAUGGAUAUGCGAAUCAAUCCCGCCGGCAGUCACAAUUCGAUGUUCGCCUGCGAUAACUUCAGUAUUGGGCCCAAUGAUCAGCUGCGGGUCAACACCAUCCUGGGUAUGCGGGUUACCCGCCUUGCCAAUUCCAACAAUUCGCCCAUCUUUAAUCCCGAUAUCGGCCUUGAUAAUCCCCGUCAUUGCAUCAACGAUGAGCGCGCUCGUAAUAACAGUGUCGACGGAUUCCGCAUCGGAAGCUUGAGGGUCCUGUGCCAUCCCAUCACGAAUGG